rnacentral:rRNA from 1 species
CCUGGCUCAGAGCGAACGCUGGCGGCAGGCCUAACACAUGCAAGUCGAACGGAUCCUUCGGGAUUAGUGGCGGACGGGUGAGUAACACGUGGGAACGUGCCUUUUGGUUCGGAACAACUCAGGGAAACUUGAGCUAAUACCGGAUAAGCCUUUCGAGGGAAAGAUUUAUCGCCAUUAGAGCGGCCCGCGUAGGAUUAGCUAGUUGGUGGGGUAAAGGCCCACCAAGGCUACGAUCCUUAGCUGGUCUGAGAGGAUGAUCAGCCACAUUGGGACUGAGACACGGCCCAAACUCCUACGGGAGGCAGCAGUGGGGAAUCUUGCGCAAUGGGCGAAAGCCUGACGCAGCCAUGCCGCGUGAAUGAUGAAGGUCUUAGGAUUGUAAAAUUCUUUCACCGAGGACGAUAAUGACGGUACUCGGAGAAGAAGCCCCGGCUAACUUCGUGCCAGCAGCCGCGGUAAUACGAAGGGGGCUAGCGUUGCUCGGAAUUACUGGGCGUAAAGGGAGCGUAGGCGGAUAGUUUAGUCAGAGGUGAAAGCCCAGGGCUCAACCUUGGAAUUGCCUUUGAUACUGGCUAUCUUGAGUACGGAAGAGGUAUGUGGAACUCCGAGUGUAGAGGUGAAAUUCGUAGAUAUUCGGAAGAACACCAGUGGCGAAGGCGACAUACUGGUCCGUUACUGACGCUGAGGCUCGAAAGCGUGGGGAGCAAACAGGAUUAGAUACCCUGGUAGUCCACGCUGUAAACGAUGAGUGCUAGUUGUCGGCAUGCAUGCAUGUCGGUGACGCAGCUAACGCAUUAAGCACU